rnacentral:rRNA from 1 species
UACGUAGGGAGCAAGCGUUGUUCGGAUUUACUGGGCGUAAAGGGCGCGUAGGCGGCAAUUCAAGUCACUUGUGAAAUCUCCGGGCUUAACUCGGAACGGUCAAGUGAUACUGCUUUGCUAGAGUGCGGAAGGGGCGAGUGGAAUUCCUGGUGUAGCGGUGAAAUGCGCAGAUAUCAGGAGGAACACCAAUGGCGAAGGCAGCUCGCUGGGACGGUAUUGACGCUGAGACGCGAAAGCGUGGGGAGCAAACAGG